GACGAACGCUGGCGGCGUGCUUAACACAUGCAAGUCGACAUUAGUGGCGAACGGGUGAGUAAUACGACGGUAACCUGCCCUCCUUUUUGGGAUAGGCCUUGGAAACGGGGUCUAAUAUCAUAUCAAUGGGGAUGGGCUCGGGGCCUAUCAGCUUGUUGGUGGGGUGAUGGGUUACCAAGGCGGUGACGGGUAGCCGGGCUGAGAGGGCGAACGGGGACAUAGAGACGGAGAAACGGCCCAGGGUAGGACGGGGGGGAGAAGUGGGGGAUAUGGCAGAAUGGGCGACCGACUGAUGCAGCGAUGGUGCGGGGGGGAUGCAGGCCGUCGGGUUGUAAUGUUCGUGAGGUACAGAGCGGGUAGGUGGAGAAGAAGCGACGGCUAACUACGUGCCAGCAGCCGCGGUAAUAC
rnacentral:rRNA from 1 species